UGUCGCCUCCUUCCUUUCCCCAUCCCCAUUUCUCUCCCUGGAAACUAAUCUCGUCGGUGCUUCUGCCUCGCGCGAGCAGUGGAUUCGGCGCACCAGGGGACAGAGCAAGAGGCGUAGGGGAUUAGGGGUGUGUUCUCCGAGGAAGUCCACGGCGACAGGGGCGACGGCGGUGUGAGCUUGCCCUUUGAUUUCCCCACGGCGCAACUCCACCCGCAAGUUGAUACAGGGGCGAGAGCUCUUCCCUGCGCGGCUGCCUGCCGGCCCCAGCUGACUGGAACGCGCGGAUGAGGGCAGCACCGCCGUGGGCUCGCAGAUCAAGGGGGGCUCGCAGAUCACUGGUCGGGGUUGGGGGAGCAGCCGGAGAGGAGAAGCAGAGCGUGCGGGCGAUGGCGGCGUCAGCGAAGAACUGGGAGAGAGGCGCAGCGAAAUAGGGUGUGGUUGUGGGGGAAGUCUGCAGCAUUGGGGCCGGCGGCGGGGAGGUUAACGGUUGAUUAUGCCGCAGCGUGAGCUCCACCAGUGACUGCAUGUCGCGUGGCAAGAUGGGUGGGGCACGCCGGGCCGCAACGAUUCCGGCGGGCACUUCGACCACCGCAGGUGCAUCGAACAAGGCGAGCGCAUCGAGCAUGGCGUGCGCAUCUAUGGUUUGCAUCGAGUUUUCAUGAGUUGCUUCAAAUAGGUUCCAUGAAGGUAAGAAGAGAGGAGAAAACAGAAACGAGCCCUUGGAGAAGAAAGUCCAAAAUGUAAACAGGGAGGGGGGUACAAAGGCAAAGGAUGUUGUAUGAGCUAUGGCAGGCCAGAAAUGACGUCUCUCGUGGUGAACCAAUGAAGAAUCCAAAUGAUAUAGCAAGAAGGGUGUGUCAUCUUGUUGAGGAAUGGGGAAGCCUUCAGAGCGGACAUCAGGAAAGCUUGUAGUUCCAAACGAAAAAUGGGCUUGUCCACCCAGGGGCUGGUUUAAAGCUAAUGUGCACUCCUUGUGAUUUCUCAGGUACUGGAGGUGCAGGUGCUGUUAUAACUUAUAAGGCGAGAUGACGGGAGUUUCGUGGCUGCAAGAUGUUCCAGUCUUCAACAAGUCGUUGAUCCGCUUCUGGCAAAACUGUUUGUAGCGCGUAUGGCUGUGGAGCUGGUGAUUCAGCAGGGUUUAAGUUUUCCUUAAGUUUUAUACAGGUUGAACUUGACUGUGCGGAGGCAGUUAAGAAACUGACGAGCCCUGGGCUGGGUAGGUCUAUGUAUGGGCUAUUUGUUCAAGAGAUUAAAUUGUCGGCUAGGAGUUCUGGUAAUGUUCAGUUCGUGUGGUGUCGUAGAACAGCCAAUGUAUGUGCGCAUGUACUGGCAAAAGCUAGGUGAUGCUCUUGAGUUUGAAUGCUGGGUGGAUUCGCCACCGAUCUGGUUGGAGCAAAUACUGUGUAAAGACAUGUUGUAACCUGUGUGAAAGAAAUCCCAGCUUUUCUCAGAAAGAAAAAGGAAACUUGUGUGAAA